AUACGGAGGGUGCAAGCGUUACUCGGAAUCACUGGGCGUAAAGCGCGCGCAGGCGGCUAUUUAAGUUGGAUGUGAAAGCCUACGGCUCAACCGUAGAACUGCAUCCAAAACUAUUUAGCUAGAGUGUGGGAGAGGAAGAUGGAAUUAGUUGUGUAGGGGUAAAAUCCGUAGAGAUAACUAGGAAUACCAAAAGCGAAGGCAAUCUUCUGGAACACUACUGACGCUGAGGCGCGAAAGCGUGGAGAGCAAACGGGAUUAGAAACCCCAGUAGUCC
rnacentral:rRNA from 1 species